rnacentral:rRNA from 1 species
CAGUCGCCACGGUAAUACGUAGGUGGCAAGCGUUGUCCGGAAUUAUUGGGCGUAAAGGGCUCGCAGGCGGUUUCUUAAGUCUGAUGUGAAAGCCCCCGGCUCAACCGGGGAGGGUCAUUGGAAACUGGGAAACUUGAGUGCAGAAGAGGAGAGUGGAAUUCCACGUGUAGCGGUGAAAUGCGUAGAGAUGUGGAGGAACACCAGUGGCGAAGGCGACUCUCUAGUCUGUAACUGACGCUGAGGAGCGAAAGCGUGGGGAGCGAACAGGAUUAGAUACCCCCGUAGUCCCUGUCUCUUAUAC